AGUGAACGCUGGCGGUAGGCCUAACACAUGCAAGUCGAACGGCAGCACAGUAAGAGCUUGCUCUUACGGGUGGCGAGUGGCGGACGGGUGAGGAAUACAUCGGAAUCUACUUUUUCGUGGGGGAUAACGUAGGGAAACUUACGCUAAUACCGCAUACGACCUACGGGUGAAAGCAGGGGAUCUUCGGACCUUGCGCGAUUGAAUGAGCCGAUGUCGGAUUAGCAAGUUGGCGGGGUAAAGGCCCACCAAGGCGACGAUCCGUAGCUGGUCUGAGAGGAUGAUCAGCCACACUGGAACUGAGACAAGGUCCAGAAUCCUACGGGAGGCAGCAGUGGGGAAUAUUGGACAAUGGGCGCAAGCCUGAUCCAGCCAUACCGCGUGGGUGAAGAAGGCCUUCGGGUUGUAAAGCCCUUUUGUUGGGAAAGAAAAGCAGCAGGUUAAUACCCCGCUGUUCUGACGGUACCCAAAGAAUAAGCACCGGCUAACUUCGUG
rnacentral:rRNA from 1 species